AUUGAACGCUGGCGGCAUGCCUUACACAUGCAAGUCGAACGGUAACGCGGGGCAACCUGGCGACGAGUGGCGAACGGGUGAGUAAUACAUCGGAACGUGCCCAGUAGUGGGGGAUAGCCCGGCGAAAGCCGGAUUAAUACCGCAUACGACCUAUGGGUGAAAGCGGGGGAGUCGCAAGACCUCGCGCUAUUGGAGCGGCCGAUGUCAGAUUAGGUAGUUGGUGGGGUAAAAGCCUACCAAGCCGACGAUCUGUAGCUGGUCUGAGAGGACGACCAGCCACACUGGGACUGAGACACGGCCCAGACUCCUACGGGGGGCAGCAGUGGGGAAUUUGGACAAUGGGCGCAAGCCUGAUCCAGCCAUGCCGCGUGCGGGAAGAAGGCCUGG
rnacentral:rRNA from 1 species